rnacentral:rRNA from 1 species
GUAGGGAAUAUUCCGCAAUGGGCGAAAGCCUGACGGAGCAACGCCGCGUGAGUGAAGAAGGUCUUCGGAUCGUAAAGCUCUGUCAACAGGGACGAAACAAGACGGUACCUGAGAAGGAAGCCACGGCAAACUACGUGCCAGCAGCCGCGGUAAUACGUAGGUGGCAAGCGUUGUCCGGAAUAACUGGGCGUAAAGCGCAUGUAGACGGCAUGAUAAGCCAAAUGUGAAAUGUAGGGGCUCAACCCCUACACUGCGAUUGGAACUGUCAAGCUUGAGUGCAGGAGAGGCAAAUGGAAUUCCCAGUGUAGCAGUGAAAUGCGUAGAGAUUGGGAGGAACACCAGUGGCGAAGGCGAUUUGCUGGACUGCAACUGACGUUGAGAUGCGAAAGCCAGGGGAGCAAACGGGAUUAGAUACCCGGGUAGUCC